rnacentral:rRNA from 1 species
ACUCAAAGGAAUUGACGGGGACCCGCACAAGCGGUGGAGCGUGUGGUUUAAUUCGACGAUAAGCGAAGAACCUUACCAGGGCUUGACAUCUCGGGAACCCCCUAGAAAUAGGGGGGUGCCGCAAGGAGCCCGAUGACAGGUACUGCAUGGUCGUCGUCAGCUCGUGUCGUGAGAUGUUGGGUUAAGUCCCGCAACGAGCGCAACCCUUGUCGUGUGUUGGAUUUUUCACACGAGACUGCCUCGGUCAACGAGGAGGAAGGUGGGGAUGACGUCAGAUCAGCAUGGUCCUUACGCCCUGGGCGACACACGCGCUACAAUGGCCGGUACAACGGGUUGCGAAGCCGCGAGGCGAAGCUAAUCCCACCAAAGCCGGUCCCAGUUCGGAUUGGAGGCUGCAACUCGCCUCCAUGAAGCCGGAAUCGCUAGUAAACGCGGAUCAGCCAUGCCGCGUUGAAUACGUUCUCGGGUCUUGCACACACCGCCCGU